rnacentral:tRNA from 1 species
GCUAAUUUGCCCGAGCGAUUAAGGGGAAGACUUAAGAUCUUCUACACUUAAUUGCACGUGGGUUCGAACCCCAGAGCUAGUA